rnacentral:rRNA from 1 species
UUUCUUAAUUUAUAAUUUUGUAUAUCGUUGUUAUAAAAAUAUUUUUUAAUAAAAUUAAUAUUUAAAAAUUAUUAUUAUAAAUUUAAAUCAGAUCAAGAUGCAGAUUAUAAUUAAGAAUAUAAUGGAUUACAAUAAAAUUAUUUAAAUGAAUAUUAGUUUGUAAAAAUUAAUUGAAAGUGGAUUUAAAUGUAAUUUUAUUUAAUUUAUUAAAAUGAUUAAAAAUUAAAAUAUGU